UAGCUCAGUUGGUAGAGCAGUUGACUUUUAAUCAAUUGGUCGCAGGUUCGGGCCGAGCCAUUUAUGGCGAGGCAACGGAGCCGCUUGCGGCAACGGCCCGAAGGGCGAGCGAAGCGAGUCAUCCUGCACGACCCACCA
rnacentral:tRNA from 1 species